AGCGAACGCUGGCGGCGUGCCUAACACAUGCAAGUCGAACGUGAAAGGGAGCAAUCCCAAGUAAAGUGGCGUACGGGUGAGUAACACGUAGGUAAUCUACCCCAGAAUCUGGAAUAACCGGCCGAAAGGCUGGCUAAUACUGGAUAGAGCGACGGAAUCCGUAAUUGGGUUUUUCGGGAAAGGGAGCCUGUAAAAAGGCCUUCGUUCUGGGAUGAGCCUGCGUCCCAUCAGCUAGUUGGUGAGGUAAAAGCUUACCAAGGCAAUGACGGGUAGCUGGUCUGAGAGGAUGAUCAGCCACACUGGGACUGAAACACGGUCCAGACUCCUACGGGAGGCAGCAGUGGGGAAUCUUGCGCAAUGGACGAAAGUCUGACGCAGCAACGCCGCGUGAGUGAAGAAGGCCUUCGGGUUGUAAAGCUCUGUCGGGUGGGACGAAAAUGCUUGGAGUUCAAAGCUCCAGGAACUGACGGUACCAAUAAAGGAAGCACCGGCUAACUCCGUG
rnacentral:rRNA from 1 species